rnacentral:rRNA from 1 species
GUCUACGGCCAUGCCACCCUGAACAAACCCGAUCUCGUCUGAUCUCAGAAGCCAAGCAGGGUCAGGCCUGGUUAGUACUUGGAUGGGAGACCGGGUGCGGUAGGUG